UCUCCUUUCUACAUAAUUAUUUAGUUGUAUGUAUAUUUUUAUCAUGCUUUGUGUCAAGGAAAAAAUUGGCCGGAUUGGUAAGUUCGAAUAGAAAUACUAAAAAUUGGAAUGUAUAUAUUGACAACUUAGGAAUUAAAAGGAAGGAAAAUGAAAGAGAGGGAGAAAAAUAGGAAAGAAGAAAAAUUUCUGAAGUUUGGAAUUAAGGAAAUGUUUGAAAGUAAGAGCUAUAGUUCCAAGAAAUCCUAUUUUCAACUCGUCAAUUGAUUCAAUCUUGCUUGUUGAAGCAUUGGUUCUCUAUCUAGAAAUACAUUGGAUGAAAUGAGGGGAAAAUAUCUUUUAGCAAUCAGGGUCUUAGUACUUAUUUUCCUCUCGCUGCUUGCAAACAAUCCCAUCUUGUCAUAGGUCUAACCUUGUAAGAAGUAAACAUGAAAGAGAGACAAAUUACAUAGGUCUAUUUAUAAUGUAUGUUUAUAGUCUGUUUAAUAAAGUAUGUAAUUGUCUGUUCAGUGAUCCUCCCCCCUCCCAAAAAAUAGAACUCUGAAUGAAUAAAGUAUGUCUAGUCAACUUAUUUGGUUUAAGUGUGAAAGUGUAUUUGUUAGUAUUUUAUUUUUAUUUUUAUCAAUGCUUUAUUUGUGCUAUUUAUUUUCUCUUACAACUUGGUGGAGGUUAUCUAUUUGGGUUGCCUUUGGGGUUCGUUGCUGAUUCUAUUGGUGCAACAAUUAGUGCUACAGCUGCAUUUAUUCUUGGUAGAACAGUGAGUAUUGUAGACCAUAGUUUUCUUUAAGGACAAUUAAUUUUUUAAUUUUCUUUAACUAGAUUUAAGAUGCUUGCAAGUUGAAAGUGCUUGUCAUAUAUUAGACCAUAUUUUUCCUCAUUUAUUGUGUUUAGUUUUAAUAUUUCAUUAUAGAUGCUUGCCUUAUAUUGAGCUCUAAUUUCAGAAAAUAAGAGAACUUCACUGGUUCUAUAGCAGGAUUUUACAUGACCAAACCAAUGUUUGAUUAGCUUAUAUUUGAUUAUACUCUGUUUGAUUAGCUUAAUGGUCCAUUGAUUGUGAAGAAAACAUAAAAACUAAAUUCUUCAUUUGCUCAUUUUGGAUAUAGCAUGCUCUCUUUAAUGUUAGUAGACUUCCAAAUCUUUGAAGUUAAAACCUUCUUUGUUUACUCUAAGCAAGUAGGAUAUGAUCUUCUGAUCCAAACCAAUAGUAAUUCAAUCUAGAAGUUAGCUGUACCAAACUAGUUUUUUAAGCUGUUGGUCUCGACAGAGUUGUUAAUUAGUUGUGGUGCUUAAGUAUAGAUGAUUGUUUGAUCUUAUAUGUGUUCCUAGUUAUGGUUGUUGUGGUGGUAUUGUUUUUGUACCAGUGGCAGUAAGGAGUUAUUUAUAUAUUUAUAACUUGAUUAGUGUGCAUUAAUAUAAUUAGGGGUGUGCAUAACAUGGUUCUCUUAUUCUGUUUUGAUAAAUGUUCCUUGCGUAUUAAACUACACAUUGUGGAAUGUGUCCAGUAUAUAAUAUAAAAUAUUCAAAAGCAGCAUGCUCAAGUGGUAGAUUAAGUAAAUCUUGCUGUCUAGGUUAUGGAAUCUCAUUAAUUAUAAAUUAAAAUUGUUACUAUGUCAAAGGAAUUAAAAUACACAUUGUGGAAUGUGUGUUCAGUAUAUAAUAUAGAAUAUAUGCUCAAGUGGCAGGUUAAGUGUGAGUAAGGGCGUAGUAAUUUUGUUUCUUAUGUGUAUUGUUUAGGCUCCUCUAGUUUAUCUACCAGAAAGGAACUUGCCUCCACCUCCUGCAUAUGUGAUGAACAACCUGGUGACUGAAACCAAUAUGUAUCAACACCAUCCACCCCAGAAAUUGAUAUGCUCUGUUAUGUUUGGUUCUUGUGGGCUUCUUACUUAGGGAUAGUUCAACAGUGUUCUUCUUCUUUGUAUUUUUUUGAUCUGAAAGCAUGCUGUAUAAACUUUAUUGCAUGGUCCUCUCUUGAUGAUGCCUUGUCUUUUGUUUUUAUAAGUAUUUUUUCGUUGUAACAAAAGUUGUCUUUGAGUUGUUCCUUGAGUCACUGCCAUGUGCAUCUUGUUUAAUACAUUCAGUGACUUGAAGGUAUGUCCUUGUUUGACUUCAGUUGAUUAGUGAAUAAUAUUGUAAAGUUUGGCAAAAAUGCAGAUUGAUACCACUAGUAAUUUUGCUGACUUUGAACUUCUCUUUUGCAGCUUUUUUUUGCUGACUUUGAACUUCUCUUUUGCAAAAAUGCAAACAUAUGAGUAAAUUGAGUUAUUAUUGUAGCUUUUUUUUAAUCAACGGCUGACCUCAAGUUUUGGGCUUUUGUUUUGCUUGUUUCUUAGUUUUAGCUCUCGGACUUGGAAAUUGUGAUAAUCAAGCCGUGACCCAAUUUUUGUUUAAAUCCUUUGAUGCUUUCCUCAUAUUAAUCUAGAUUUUAGGAUUCUCAUCUUUAAUAGCUGAACUUUUUUUUUUCUUUUGGAAAAAGUGACAUGUUUUAUGUUAUAUUUUGGGGCAUGUUAUUGUUCAGUUGAAGGUGGAAGGGUUUGAAAUACAAAGAGAAUUCCCAUUACAAAUGGAAUAGUAGUCUAAUUUGUAAUUAAGGCCUUUAUAUUGCUUCAUAAUUUACUGUCAUAUGGGAACAACAACAAAAGGCUGAAAGAUUUCAUAAUUUGUAAUUUACUGUCGUAAGAUUUUCUGGUUGUGUUAUGCUUCAAUGAACUUUGAUUUAUAAUAUAAUGGAAGAACUUUAUUAGAGGCUGAAAUCAGACACAAGUUGAUCUAAACCUCAUUUGAUAAACUAAAGUUAAUACAUGAUUUUUCUGCUUCUUUGGCACAAUUAUAGACACCAUUUUAUUAUUUUUUCCAUUUCAAAAUGUUGACUUUAUGGAUAAUAGAAUUGAAUCUUAGGGUGACUUGUGAUCAACAAGUUGCUUGAAACUGAUCUACAAGAGCUGUUGCUGUUCUUUUACUUUUAGUUGUUGCUCUUCUUUGUGUGUAUGAACUUUGUGUUGUGAAUGUUACAGGUGGUUCAGCAAUUGUGUAUCAGCAAUUGCCUUAGCAAUUAACCUUCUCUUUAUAUGUAGAAUGGUGUUUAAUGGUACAUGCAGUUCUCUUGUCUGAAGUUUUGGUCAUUUGUUUCUAUGUUUUCUGCCGUUGCAAUAACAAUUGAAUCUAUUAUGUACAAGAUCUAUAGUUUGCCACCUAUUAUGUGCCACAGAAAAUCUGUUUCUUAUUGCAAAGUUUUAAUAUUGAUAUUUCUUUCCAUGCUUAUUUUUGCAUGACUAGAGCUAAUUUUCAGAUUAAGCAUGCCCAGCAUCUUACACCUGGGACUGCAGACUGAUUUGGUGAACUAGGGAUUAUUGCUUCAGUACAGGUUCAUCACAGCUAUCUGUUGCAUUCUAGUAACAUACUGUAACAUUUAAGAAUUUGGAAAUAUCUUGUCUUGAAAAGAAUUUGGAUAUGAGCCUCGGUGUAGUCGCCAAAGAAACUAAAUCUGGUCUAACUGUAAGUCUUCUAUAUAUCAUAUUAACUGAAAAUCUAGCUUUCUAGAGACUACAGAGAUAUUGAUUACUGCUAAAUUAUUCAUGCUAUAUUAUAGGAAGAUGACAUGGUAUUUAACUGAAACUAAUCUAGAUUUCUGAUGAACACUUAAAAUCUUGUGCAACUGGGAUAUCUAACUGAAACUAAUCUAGAUUUCUGAUGUUUUGACAAUACUAAUUAACUAAAAGCUUCUGCAGCAAUACCUGCUAGGCUGUGUGUUUUGCUUUAAUGGGCAUUGAGUGUGGUAAAUAUUGUUCUUUUCCUGUGUACUGUGUUAUGUUUUUUUCUUGCCACGUUAAUGCUCUUGUCUCUUAUCAUUUGCCCAGGGUUGUUGAGAUCAUCUGUACUUUGGUCAGGAAAUUAUCUCCUAAUCCUAAUAGUGCUGCUAUGAUGGCCAUGGGUGUUAACAUCUUGGAAAAGAGAUUGAAAUGAUUGGGGUUCUUGAUUGAGUUUCUAUCCCAUGCUGCCAUUGUUGGGUUCAUGGGAGGAGCUGCCAUUACAAUUGCCCUUCAACAACUCAAAAGAUUGCUUGGCAUAAAAAAGAAUUUCACAAAGAAGACAGAUAUUGUCUCUGUUUUGCGCUCAGUGUUUAAUUCAACCCACCAUGUUGUAAUAUGAUUUCUUAAGCCUAGACUAGUAGACUAAAUAUUGUAAUUACAUUUGAGUAAUUAAUAAAAAUCUAUUUAUGUUA